CUGGCUCAGAACGAACGCUGGCGGCGCGUUUAAGCAUGCAAGUCGAGCGGCAAGGGCCUUCGGGCCCCUAGAGCGGCGGACGGGUGAGUAACACGUGGACAAUCUGCCCCCCGGCCCGGGAUAGCCCAGGGAAACCUGGAUUAAUACCGGAUGAGACGGGACCCGCGAUGGCGGGACCCGGGAAAGGCGCUGCGGCGCCGCCGGGGGAUGAGUCUGCGUCCCAUUAGCUAGACGGCGGGGUAACGGCCCACCGUGGUGACGAUGGGUAGCCGGCCUGAGAGGGUGGACGGCCACAUUGGAACUGAGACACGGUCCAGACUCCUACGGGAGGCAGCAGCUAAGAAUCUUCCGCAAUGGGCGAAAGCCUGACGGAGCGACGCCCGCGUGAACGAAGAAGGCCGUGAGGUUGUAAAGUUCUUUUCGGGAGGGGGAACAACCGUGGCAGGGAAUGGCCGCGGGAUGACGUGAAUCCCGGAAUAAGCCCCGGCUAACUACGUGCCAGCCGCAGC
rnacentral:rRNA from 1 species